CUGCACCCAUUAACUCGUCAUUUACAUUAGCUUUUUAUAUAAUAGAAGUGGCACAAGCAGAAGCUCAGUUACCUGUAUUCUAAUUACCUGAAGAUCAUGUGGUCUGGGAACAGAAAAGUUUAAAAAGGAAGUCUGCUAGAGACUCAUGUUCUGUGGCACUUCUUGGGACCAAAUUAAAUGAAAUAAACAGAAUUUGGAGAAGAAUUGACCGGUAAACACAGGUACCAAUCUACCAGACUAUUUCACCAUCCCUUAAAUUAGCAAGCUCAUGUGGCAGCUUCGUUACUGUCACAUGUAACUGCAGCAGUAGUGGCCAAAAGAAUGUCAUUUGUUAUUCAUGAGGUGCUCAGGUAACGUGAAAGUGAACUUAUCAAAUGAAUAGGGACAACCAGUCUGUGGUGUCUGAAUUCGUGUUGCUGGGACUCUCAAAUUCUUGGGAGACUCAAGAUUUUUCUUUUUUGCUUUUCUUGUCUUUUCUAUGUGUCCGGUGUGAUGGCAAACCUCAUUGUAGUGGUCACUGUAACCUCUGACCCUUACUUGCACUCCUCCUUGUAUAUUUUGCUGGCCAACCUCUCUGUCAUUGAUCUCACAUUUUGCUCCAUUGCAGCACGCAAGAUGAUUUGUGAUAUUUUCAGGAAACAGAAAGUCAUUUCCUUUUGGGGCUGUGUAGCUCAGAUCUUCUUUAGCCAUGCUGUUGGGGGCACUGAGAUGGUGCUGCUCAUAGCCAUGGCCUUUGACAGAUAUGUUGCCGUAUGUAAGCCCCUUCACUACCUGACCAUCAUGCAUCCAAGAAUGUGCAUUUUGAUUCUAGUGGCUUCCUGGGCCAUUGGUCUCAUUCACUCAUUGGUCCAAUUGUCUUUUGUAGUAAACUUGCCCUUCUGUGGCCCUAAUGUGUUGGACAGCUUUUACUGUGACAUACCUCAGCUCAUCAAACUUGCUUGCACAAAUACCUAUAAACUGCAGUUCAUGGUUACUGCUAAUAGUGGGUUCAUUUCCUUGAGUGCUUUCUUCUUGCUCAUCCUCUCUUACAUCUUCAUUCUGGCCACUCUUCAGAAACACUCCUCAGGAGGCUCAUCCAAGGCUGUCUCUACUCUGUCAGCUCAUAUUACUGUUGUGGUUUUAUUCUUUGGUCCACUGAUUUUUUUCUAUGUAUGGCCCUCUCCUCCAACACAUCUGAAUAAAUUUCUAGCCAUAUUUGAUGCCAUUUUCACUCCUUUUCUGAAUCCAGUCAUCUACACAUUCAGGAACAGGGAAAUGAAGAUUGCAAUAAGGAGAGUGUUCGGUCAAUUUAUGGGUUUUAGAAAAACUACUUAAGUGGCUUUAUUAAAACACAGAAUUUCCAAGUGACUAUUGAAAGUCCACAGUAGGCAGUCCUCAUAGCAAUGAGAACACUUGGACACAGGAAGGGGAACAUCACACACUGAGGCCUGUCAUGGGGUUGGGGGAGGGAUAGCAUUAGGAGAUAUACCCAAUGUUAAAUGACGAGUUAAUGGGUGCAGCACACCCACAUGGCACAUGUGUACAUAUGUAACAAAGCUGCACAUUGUGCACAUGUACCCUAGAACUUACAGUAUUUUAUAUAUAUAUAUGAAGAGACUUUAUACUGUGCAUCACUUUGAGUUCUCACAGACCUUCAUUGCCCAUAUGGAGGGUCUAUUUUGUUCCCACUGAAGAAUGAAUGACAUUUGUCCUCGAAGAGAAAGAGACUUUAUAUGUAAUAUAUAGAAAUCAAAGAUUAUAUUCAUUCUUAUUUUUUAGUUCCCAAAGAAUCAUGUCAUUAAUAAUAUUCACAUGGAUUAAAUAAUGGUGUAAAUAAGUUUGUUUCUCAGAAUAACUGUAUUGCUGUUUUCAAGCUGUCCUGCCCUCUAAUUGGAAUAUUUGUUAACAUCAUGCUUUAUUAUCUGUGUACAUCUCAUAUCUCCAUUUUUAUUUGUUCUGCCUUGUUAUCUCAGUCUUUUGGUUAUUUGUUCCGCCUUGUUAUCUCAGUUUUUUGGUUAUGAGUAAACAGUAGUAAACAUCUUUAGGAUUUGUGGUCAUGUACACAUUUUAAUCCA